rnacentral:rRNA from 1 species
GACGAACGCUGGCGGCGUGCUUAACACAUGCAAGUCGAACGAUGAAGUUCCUUCGGGAAUGGAUUAGUGGCGAACGGGUGAGAAACACGUGAACAAUCUGCCCCUUACACGGGAAUAACCUCGGGAAACCGAAGCUAAUACCCAAUAUUGAAUUCGGUAGGCAUCUACUGAAUUUGAAAUGGUCCGCCGGUAAGGGAUGAGUUCGCGGCCUAUCAGCUUGUUGGUGAGGUAAUGGCUCACCAAGGCGACGACGGGUAGCCGGCCUGAGAGGGCGACCGGCCACACUGGGACUGAGACACGGCCCAGACUCCUACGGGAGGCAGCAGUGGGGAAUAUUGCGCAAUGGACGAAAGUCUGACGCAGCAACGCCGCGUGAGGGAUGACGGCCUUCGGGUUGUAAACCUCUUUCAAUCGGGACGAAGCGAAAGUGACGGUACCGAUACAAGAAGCACCGGCUAACUCUGUGCCAGCCGCCGCGGUAAAAC